GCCUUCGUGGUGUAGUGGUCAGCACGCUCGGCGCGUAUUCGAGAGGUCCGUGGUUCGAUUCCCGGCGAAGGCA
rnacentral:tRNA from 1 species